rnacentral:rRNA from 1 species
AGGGUGCGAGCGUUAAUCGGAAUUUACUGGGCGUAAAGCGCAUGCAGGUGGUUUGUUAAGUCAGAUGUGAAAGCCCCGGGGCUCAACCUCGGAACUGCAUUUGAAACUGGCAGACUAGAGUACUGUAGAGGGGGUAGAAUUUCCAGGUGUAGCGGUGAAAUGCGUAGAGAUCUGAGGAAUUACCGGUGGCGAAGGCGGCCCCCUGGACAGAUACUGACACUCAGAUGCGAAAGCGUGGGGAGCAAACCAGGAUUAGAUACCCUCGGGAG